AUUGAACGCUGGCGGCAGGCUUAACCCAUGCAAGUCGAACUAGUGGCGGACGGGUGAGUAAUGCUUGGGAAUCUCGCUUAUGGUGGGGGAUAACUUCGGGAAACUGUAGCUAAUACCGAGUACACUAGGAUGAGCACACGUGGGCUUAGGUCGUUGGUGAGGUAAAGGGUCACCAAGCCGACGAUCUCUAGCUGGUCUGAGAGGAUGACCAGCGACACUGGGACUGAGAGACGGCCAAGACGCCUACGGGAGGCAGCAGUGGGGAAUAUUGCGCAAUGGGGGCAACCUGACGCAGCCAUGCCGCGUGAAUGAAGAAGGGCUUCGGGUUGGAAAGUUCUUUCGGUAGCGAGGCGUUAACUACAGAAGAAGCACCGGCUAACUCCGUGCCAGCAGCCGCGGUAAUUC
rnacentral:rRNA from 1 species